rnacentral:rRNA from 1 species
UACAGAGGUCUCAAGCGUUGUUCGGAUUCAUUGGGCGUAAAGGGUGCGUAGGCGGCGCGGUAAGUCGGGUGUGAAAUCUCGGAGCUUAACUCCGAAACUGCAUUUGAUACUGGCGUGCUUGAGGACUGGAGAGGAGACUGGAAUUUACGGUGUAGCAGUGAAAUGCGUAGAGAUCAUGAGGAAGACCAGUGGCGAAGGCGGAUCUCUGGGCAGUUCCUGACACUGAGGCACGAAGGCCAGGGGAGCAAACGGG